rnacentral:lncRNA from 13 species
CCAUGGCACUCACAUACGCGAGAACACACGAUCUGACACGCGCUAAUUACCGAAAUGCAACUAAUUGCACGGGCGUCAUGUGUGCAAUGAAUUCAGCUUCAAUUAUCUCCGAAACAUUGCCUGAGCAAGCUCUGUUUUUCUACAUCAUCGUCCCGGUUUCUCCGUUCUCACCGUGUUCUACACUUGCAAGGACAUUUCGUGCGGGUGCAAUCUGAAAACUUCCGGACACAAUGCGAAAAUGCAACUACAGGACGAGAUAAUACUGUCGCCGAUAAAGAGGCUGCGCUUCAUUAUGGCGACGCGAAACGUUGUCAGUUUAUCAAGGCCAUGGAGCACAGUAGAUUGUCCGGUUUAUUGAAAACUUCCUAGGAGCCUCUACACGUUCAACGGAUCCCUGUGUCAAAAGUUCAGCUAUUAUUAGUAAUAUGUAGUGUUGUAGUGAUUAAUUAAAGAGUUAAAAGUUAACUAUUAAAAAAUCGACAUUAUGACCUAAUUCAACAUCAGUUUUAACUGAUUGUGCAUCUCAUUUUAUUGUCUUGAAUAAGGAUGCACAUCGAACAAAGUUUGCAAAUUUUUACACUGAGCAACCAACAUCUGCACCGAACAGGAUCCAAAAGAUUAAAACGUACGUACUAUUAUUUAAUUUACUUUAUUUUACUAAUAAAGUAAAUUUAUUUGUCUUAAUAAACAGAUAUAAAUUUACGCAACAACUGCGUUGACUCUUUUAAGGCAUUUUAUUUUUUAUUUGAUCUAAUUAGUUUUGAUUAAUAUGACUUAGAUUUUAACUUUUUUUUCGCAUAGCACGUAUAAUAUAUUAUAAGAGUAUGUUUAAUAUAUGUCUACAUGUUAUUAUAAUCUAUAUAGGAUAUUCCCGAAUUUUCCGUACAAACUUUAACAAUUUGUUCUGUGAGCAAAAAUAAGAAAAGAAUGUUAUAUGAAUUUAGAUCC